rnacentral:rRNA from 1 species
GCCCGCUCUAAAAAGGCGGGCGAAUAAGGGGAGGGCAAGUCGGGUGUCAGCCGCCGCGGUAAUACCCGCUCCCCGAGUGGUGGAGGCUAUUACUGGGCCUAAAGCGCCCGUAGCCGGCCCGGUGUGUCCCUCGUUAAAUCCACGGGCUUAACCCGUGGGCUGCGGGGGAUACUACCGGGCUUGGGGGUGUGAGAGGCGCCCGGUAUUCCCGGGGUAGGGGUAAAAUCCUCUGAUCCCGGGAGGACCAUCAGUGGCGAAGGCGGGGCGCCAGAACACGCCCGACGGUGAGGGGCGAAAGCUGGGGGAGCAAACGGGAUUAGAUACCCCGGUAGUCCCAGCUGUAAACGAUGCGGGCUAGCUGUCGGGGCGGCUACGGGCCGCCCCGGUGGCGAAGGGAAGCCGUUAAGCCCGCCGCCUGGGGAGUACGGCCGCAAGGCUGAAACUUAAAGGAAUUGGCGGGGGAGCACCACAAGGGGUGGACGUCGCGGCUUAAUCGGAUUCAACGCCGGAAACCUUACCGGGGCUGACGGCAGGAUGAAGGUCGGGCUGACGACCCUACCUGACGAGCCGAGAGGAGGUGCAUGGCCGUCGCCGGUGCGUGCCGUGAGGUGUCCUGUUAAGUCAGGCAACGGACGAGACCUGCGC